rnacentral:lncRNA from 1 species
UUGCACUAGAAUAUAUCUUAUUUUUUAUUGACUGUUAUACAAAAAAAAGUACCCAAAAAAAAAAAUAUGAUAAAAUAUUUUUAGAGAUGAAUAAAUAUGUAUAUUUUAUAAAAAUAGUCAUGAAUAUUUUAAUAGGUAACUAUUCUACUAAAUUAAAAAAAAAAAGAAAAAUGAAUGUGAGUAAAGUAGUAACCGAGUCGGAGGAGUCUUUUGUUUGUGACGCAACUGGUGUGGUACAUACAAAAGAUCAUACAAAUAAUAGUAUUUAUAAUAAUAACAACACCUGCUAUAACAAUAAACAAUUCGAAUCCGACUUAUUUCAUAGUGUUUAUAUAAAUGCAUUUAAAAUGUAUGAUAUGAUGUCACAAUUAUUACUGUGUGUAAAAGGAACACCAGCCGAUAAUUUGAGUGAACUGUUUUUUAAAUAUUAUUAUCUUAUUAUGUUUAAUACUGGUGAUAAUAAUGAAAACAAUAUAGAGAAGCAAUACGUAGGCAGUUUCAAAGAAGUAAUGUAUUUUUUAAAAAAUAAAAAAAACAAUAACAUAUUAAAAAAAAAAAGUGAUUUUAACAACAAAAUAACACCAGCGACAAAUUUCAAUUUAUUUGAUAAUGACAAUUAUUUCUAUGCACAUAUGUAUAUGCAAAAGAACCAAAUAAACCCAAUUUCUAUUUUAAUCAAACGAGUGUCAGAUGUAUUAUUUAUGGAUGAAAUACAAAUCAGUGAAAGGAAUACUUCGAAUAAUCAUCAUGAUAUCGGCGUUGUGAGCGUUGAAAAUAUGUAUCUUAAUGGCAAUAAAAACGUUAACAUUUGUUAUGGAAAUGGUCAUAAAAGCACAGCUAGCAACGAAAGUAACAUAAAGUUUGAUAGUAGUUGCAAACAUAAUCAUAGUAUCAUCAGCAACAAUAACAUAGAUGGUCCUACGCUGAUGAAAGAAAACACAAAAUAUUUUGGUGACCAAUAUAUUAAAGAACAUAAUCUGAAAUUAUUUUUUUUAAUUUUAUGCUACAGUUUUAUAAUAAGAAAAGAUAUAA